AGCGGAUGUUUGUAUUUCGGCAGGUUCUCCUCUCAAAUUUAUAAAAUUUUCCAAUCGUCAGUAAAUUUUGACAUUAACUUUAUUUGCAUCGGUUUUCACACCAGAAUCCCAUCGGUAUUUGUUCUCACCGAAUCUGGUCACACUCUGUUAUUUCUGUUUGCGAGUUUAUACCCAUAAAGUGUCGAUUUAGAAUUGUAUUAUCAGGUAAACAUCAAACUCUCCUUGAUUUCUUAUAACAAAUCAACCGCCUGACAUUUAAAUACUGAUCGCACUGCGCACUUGAGAAACGCAAAAGAGAAUCACAACAAAAACAAGUAACACACUCGCGCAUAACUGUACCCACACACAGAACGUGGUUACGGUUAUAUAAAGAGAAAACAAACGCGCAAUUGGAUCAUUGUUAUUCCAGCAACCCAGAAAGAAAAUAAAAUGGUAAUUUUAAAUUGACUCACCUGGGGUAUAUUAAUUUCCCUUUUCCUCACUGGACGAUGUUGAACGUUCCGAAAUUCAAGCUGGAAUGAUGAAAUUGCUUGAUGAAGCGGUCCCAACUGAUGUCGAAACCAGUCAAGAUGCAAGGGGUUUUCUUAAAAUUUCUAUUGGACAAAAACAAAAUGUCACAUUUGCGCAACCUUCAAGAUGUGGAUCACGAAACGAAAGACGAAACAAAUGGACACAAAUACACACACACACACACACACACAAUCGCAUGAACAAUGAGGAAACAGAUGGAAGAAGCAACAGAUAACAACGAAUUCGCCGAGCACAGCGCUAGCUUUUUAUUUGUUGCUCCUGCUAUUACUGUGGUGGUUCAGUCGUCUUCUAAUAUUACAGCGGGCAUAAUUAAAAAUCAGAGUGCUACGCACUUUUCCAACUCGAACUUCCCUUAAGGCUUCGCGCACACUAUAGCUGAAAACGGAGAGGAAAAAUCAAACACACUGCACUCAUCCAAGUGCGGGCACUUUGAAGCGUUCAGUUCAUCUCGGUUUUAUCAACAAAACAUGUUAUAUUUUAUCAUCUCCGCUUUCAGCUUCGCUUUUUUCUAGCUAUAGUGUGCGCUUAGCCUAAGACGCACAACAAGCUAAGUAAAAAUAUGGUUUGAAGCUCUGUUGAUCUUAUUUCUCUUUGUUAUAGAUUAUCGAGGCGUGGCGUCAUUCGGCGAAUAGGAACAUGUUCUCUCACACAGUGCGGCGCAAAAGUAAUCAUUCUAAGUCUUUUGAUGAUUGUAAAUGCAAUACAAUACAUUCGCUGUAUAAGAAAUUAAAGCAAAUAAUAUUCA